rnacentral:rRNA from 1 species
CCCUUAGAUGUCCUGGGCCGCACGCGCGUUACACUGAUGCAUUCAACGAGCUUAUAACCUUGGCCGAGAGGCCUGGGCAAUCUUGUUAACGUGCAUCGUGAUAGGGAUAGAUUAUUGAAAUUAUUAAUCUUGAACGAGGAAUUCCUAGUAAACGCAGAUCAUCAAUCUGCAUUGAUUACGUCCCUGCCCUUUGUACACACCGCCCGUCGCACCUACCGAUUGGAUGGUCCGGUGAAGCCUCGGGAUUGUGGUUCUUGCCGCUUUAUUGUGCGUGACCGCGAGAACUUGUCUAAACCUUAUCAUCUAGAGGAAGGUGAAGUCGUAACA